CAUAGAUUGAAAAAUGUCAGAAAAUUAUACUAAAAUUGUAUCUAUAUGUAAUCUGGAAAAAAGACAAAAUUAAAAAAAAGGUCCAAAAGUUGAAUAGUAAAGGCCAUCCUGUCCUGCAUCCCCUGGGGUUCUUUGGCCAAGGGUGCAAAUGCUAUCUCUCCCUUCCCUGAUCCUCACUCCCCUAGAAGAUUUCUACAUUCCUGGAGUGCUUCAGUUUUCUCAUCUGUAAAGUGAGCUGGAGACAGAAAUGGCGAACCACAUCAAUAUCUUUACCAAGAAACUCCCAAUGUAGUCAUGUAGCAUAAGACAUGACUAAAAUGGCUGAAUAACAAUUGUGUCCCAGGCAUUGGACUAAGAACUGAGGAGAUGAAAGAAAGGCAAAAAGUAGUCCCUGUCUUUGAAGAGCUUCUAGUCUAAUGGGAGAGACAAUCUGCAAAUAACGUUGUGCAAAUAAGACAAAGAGAGAUGGAAUUGGAGACAAUCUCAUUGGAAAAAAUGUUUCUUGCAAGAAGGUGAGACUUUAAUUUCCAUUAUCAGCAUUCUCAUUGAAGAGAUCAUAUGAUAAUGAAUCUGAAGAUGUAAGAGAUUCCAGAAGUGAUCUAGUCCAAUUCCUUUAUUUUGCAGAGGUGGGAAACUAAGGUCCAUAUAAAAAUAAUUGUUCUUACAAAGUCAUACAGAACCCAGCUCAAGUCUCUUUAACUCCAAAUCUAGAGCUUUUCCUAUUAUAUCUAUUACCUUGCCCAUCUAUCACACACUCAG
rnacentral:lncRNA from 1 species